AGAAAUCCUUAUACGUAAUGGCCAAGCAAAUUUUUUUGGGAACAAGAAAAGGGUCGCUAUAAAUUCAAAACCAAACUAAAAUUUUCUACUCUUUCCUGGCCAAGCUCCACCGGCCACUCUCAAUCCUCAGUCCAUCUGUGCGUAAUUCCAUCCCAAUCUGUUUGGCUAAAACGAAAAUAGAAGCUUCAAGAAUUGAUUGGGCAACUGGAAUAAAACAUAAAAGAUAGUGAAACCAUAAGCAAGCAAGAAAGGUAUAUAUUAUUAUGUAUUAUGUUUUUUUAUAAAAUUCAUGAUAAAUUGAAUCAGUUAGUUAGUAUAUGUAGAUAAUUAGUUAAAUAGUUAAUUUGUAUGUGAAUGGGCUACGAAAUCAAUUGGUAACUAAGCUCAAUGAAAUUUAUAAUAUAAGGUAUGUUUUAGAAACUAAAGGAAUGAAAUUUAUUCAAAGUUUCAAAGUUAGUAAACUAAUUUAUGAAGUAAAUAGUAUGUAUAGUUUUCUUUGUGUAUUGGUUGUAGUUGAUUGAUAUUAGAACCAUGGAGUUUAGUAAUUGUUGUGCGGAGUUAUAAGGAUGGCGAAAUGGGAAUGAAACAAAAACCAAACCACAUGAUCUCAACCAAUUAUAGAGUCGCACACGACAUGUUCGAUUAAAGUCCUAAAAGGGCCAUUUUGCCUAAAAACUCCUAAUUAGGCAAAGCUAAGACUCAGGAUAUAUGCAUAUAUGUUAUAUAUAAAUAAUUAAAGAGUUUGGGUAAAUCGAAUUAGAACAAAAAAUAAUUUUAAGCCAAAAUGAAAAUUUUAAAAGUUAGUGUGUCAGACUACUUUUGGCUAACUGUUUCGUAUAGUUAGAUUUGUUAGAAAAUUUUAAGUUUUUGAGGUCUAGUAGUGUGCAAUCCCAGCUAGCCAUAGCAUUUGGAAUGGACUAAUUCUGAGUUCAGACGACUGAGUUAAGAUGUGCCAAAGUGGGUGCGUCAAAACUGCCCAAAUCUAGAAAACAGAUUCGAAGCAGCCCCUUACACGAAUUUUAUGGAAUUAUGGGUGCAGAAUUUGGAAAAGGUUAUUGAAUAGGAGUUGUAGUCCCAGAAGUUAGCUUCGUGUGGGCUCAAGAAUCGCUUAAAAAUGUUUUGAAACAAAAAAGUUAUGGGUGUUUGAGAAAGAGAGGGUACAGUUGGAAAAAAAAUUGAAAACUGUUUCGACAAGGCAAUUUUAGUCCUCUGUUUAACCUGUCUAGGAUGCCCAAAUUAGAAGAGUUAUAUUUUUCUAAAAUACUAUGAAAUACAAUCUUAAUGGCCCAAGUUUGAAGGUUAAUGAAAAUGUAGAUUUAAUGUUCUAAAAUCACAAAGUAACCAUUAUGAUAAGGCGGAGCUGGGGGCAGGGCGGGCAGCAGCUGCACCAGGUAGUUGGCCUAGCAGCGUGCAACGCAUGGGCAGAUGCCUGGAAACUAGUUGUCGGGCAGCGUUUUGUCUUGCAUUUUGAUUUCGAUUGUGGGUGUUGAGCAUUAAAAGAGUUAAGAUAUAUAAUAAUAUAUAAUUGGACCAUUAAUUGAACCCAAUAUGAUUGAUAAAUUAGAAUUCAGUUGUUAAUCUUAAUAUGUUCAAGUUAAGUUGAAAUUAUGGAACGUGUUUCAUGUUAAGCAAUAAGCUUUAAUACAUAAAGUAAUAUGCACGACAUUAAUAAUGAAAAAUAGCAACGACAUAAUGAAAUCAAUUCAGGAACGGAUUAAGGAUUAGUUAACUAAUCUAAAACAUGGUAAAAUCUUAAGAACUUAAGAUUAUAAAAGUAUAAAGUUGAAAAGUGUGGGGUUCGAUUAUAAUUAGUUGUACAAACUAAAAGAUUUAUAAGUUAAUAUAGUUAGUCUCAAAUGAAUUGAGGAGGCAUGUUGUAACUUAUGUGUUAUAUUUUGAUUAUACAAGAAAAAGCUAGCUUUGUUUAAUCUAAGGUGUAUUUAUUUCUGCCUAUCAUUGUAUUCAACGAGGUACCAAUAAAAAAAUUCACAUUUAAGCAUGGAUGAGGUAUUUGAAAAAUAAGUGGGUUGGUUUAUUAACCUAGUAAAAGCUAAUAAGAUUUAUACAUUAUACAUAUGUAGCAAACUUAUUAAAAUAAGAGAAGUUAAGAAUGAGAUAUUAGACUUGCAAAACAUAAAUUUAAAUAGAAUUUGUAGAAUAUGGUAAUGUUAUACAUUGUAAUAACAUUAUGUGUAUAUUGGUGCUAUACAUGAGCAUAAUACCUCGAAUACGUGUAAUCGCGUAAUGAUUACAUGGAUUACAUGUUAUAUUCGUGGAAUGAUGAAAGUCAACUAUUGACUAAAUUUGAUUAAGUUUUUAAAACUCAGUCUUGAUUUGAUAUUUGAUAUGUGUGAGAUACAAAUGUUACUUAAAUUGUAAUAAUCUCGAAAUAUGAUAUAAGCAUGAUAUUAUGUGCUAUGUGAAGCAUGAAAACUGUUAGACUUGUUGGGCCGUAGUGCUCAAUCUUGCAAACAAUUUUGCAGAUAAAUGUUGAUUUAUCAGAUGGUCAUAACAACGAAGAUUUGUGAUGAGAUAUGAGUAUUAAAGAUGUAUUGCUUCAUCAAGUUUAGACUGUACCGAGC
rnacentral:lncRNA from 1 species